UCUCUUGUGGUCUAACGGCAGCGACGCCCGCCUUUGGAGCGGGAGGUUCAGGUUCGAAUCCUGGCGAGAGAG
rnacentral:tRNA from 1 species